CAAAAAGAAAAAGGACUUGAAUCAUGGGGAAAGAAUUCUCAGCAUUUGGGCAAGUCUGCAGGAGGAGGAAGAAGUUUCUGAUCAGGUUUAUCUCCAUCAAGAACAAGCCAAGCCAUCCUCAGACCCCAACUGUGUUUCUCUUACCUGGGUUAUCUGCAAGGAAUCGAAUAGCAGCCCAUCCACCAGAUGGCACACCGACUGUGUUCCUCUCUAUUGGGUCAACAAGGUUGAAGUUUCUAGGAUCCUUGUUCGGGUCGAAAUUCCCAAACCCUUGGCCAACAACAAAGAAGUUGAACCCAUGAAGAUGAAGAGGAUGGCUUUCUGCGCCAAGAAUGCUAGUGUCUUGCAUCACCAACUCCACACUGGUGUUAUAAGGUUGAGGAAGAAGAAGAACACAAGAGAAUACAGCUAGGAGUAGCUGUAACGCCAUUGAAGUGAGCUUGGACACGGAGGCGUUGUUUAGAGCAGGUAAGUUUUCUGAAGACUCUGCCUCGCUUAUGUUUUGCUGUAGAUUGUGGAUUCAUUGUUUUCAACCUUUAGUGUAUAUAUAGGAAAGGAGAGUUAGGUGUUUGCUUGAGCAGGAGAUAUAGAAAAAACAAUUAGUAAAAUGUUUAUGAAAAACAAAAAGAUAAUUGGUAGAGAAGUACUCUCCGUAAUUUGGAGACACUUGAUAUUGACUAGUUGUUAGAUUAUAUGAACAGCUAAUGUAUGAGUGGUGUCAAAGAUAAGUCAAACUCUUUGACCCUCUUCGAAAACUCUUUGUUUCCAUCUCAAUACUAUGGCGUAGAUUCUAAAUAUGAAAUGCAAGAUUGCCAAUUUUGGUUUCUCAGAUAUGACAGUUCCUCUUCCAUGUUCUGCUUCUUUGACAGCUUUGAGUAUAUUAGACUUCAAAUUUUAACAUGAGAUAGUAAGGAACUUAGGACCAGAUGUAGAAGAUUAAUAAUAUAGUUUGAUUUGUUCCCUGGCCAAGUUUUGUUUAGACCCAACAAAAACAACUCUUGGAGACUUCUUGAUCGACCAAAAGAGUCUGAAGCAGAACUCUAGGAAACUUCUCUGGUGGGGAACUUAAGAGAUAAACCGAUGUGGAGUUAGUCAAAACAUUCGUAAGCUAAAAUUGCUUGGGGAAUAAGCAAAGAGAGGGAGAUUGUAGCUAUCAAAGAAGGUCACGAUUAGGGUUAGAUAUCAAAAUCCAUGAAGGGAAUUUCCGAAAUUUUUAUUCUUUUUGAUAAGAACAUUGAGGAAACCUC